AGUGUUGUAUGUCCAGCUAUCAGAUGUCAAUAUUGUGGUUACAAAGAAUUGAUUCCUGGGACCUAACCUAAUAGCUGAAAGAGGGAACAAAUCUCCUACCACUGCUUGCAAAGAGCAUGAUCCCUUGCAGAGCCCUGAACCCUUUCUUCCUUCCACGCAUGCUCAUUUAAGAAUGCCUUGGCUAGGAUCAUCUGAACUGCAAAUGGAAACUCUAUGAGAUAAUUACAAUCUGAUUAAGACAAAUAUACCCAUGAACAAGUUAGCCAUCUCAAUAUUCUUCCACUCUGGAAAGCUAGAGACACAGAGAGUAUGAAAUAAAUAUAAAAACAAAGACAAAGAAAAGCAUCUUAUGUUCUAC